rnacentral:lncRNA from 1 species
AGUGACAGCAGAGUGUUAAAACAAGCACAGGGCCUCUUGUGAGGGUGGGCCUAAGUGAUGGCACAGGCUACAUUCCCAUGAAGCCACCCCUGCUUGUGGGACUAGGUCAGGCAUGUGAUGGGGCCCCAUGCUGGACUUAACAUGUCUGGGCAUGCAUAACUGAGUAAUAGGGUAAAUCCCCUACAUCAAUUUUCUGGUUUUCCUAUACAAAAAAGCACAAAGUAUGUGCUUCACAAGGGACUGGGUUGGGAGAAUAAGAAGUGCCAAUUCCUGGACCCUGGCCCAGCCCUGAGGAUGGGCAUCUGACUGAGCCCUUUGCAGAGUGAGGCUGCAAGCAGAAGCUGAAGGAGCCGUUUUUCUCAAGGGCCCUGUGGAUGUGGAGAAGCCUGCAGGGAUGCUUGGGGGUUCAGAUGACUGCAUGGCACAGAGCCUCCCACAGCUCUGAAGAGCAGUAAGCCAGGUACUGGACAACUAAGCACUGCAGAAAGACCCAGUUGGUCUGGUCCCUCAGGGCAGCAGCUCUGGGGGGCACCGCCACAGCUUUUCACUGUGGAGAUCAGCAGCAGCAGCUAUGGCAGCAUCCUGACCUCACAGGCCUUCCUGCCUUGCAUGGAGGAGCCAGGCAGGAGAGGAGCAAGACCUGUAGAAGCCUGGGUGAUAGAAGACUACUUGUGAGCUGGUGUGAGUCACGCUCAGCAAAGGGGGAAGAAGCAGUAAAAUGGGGUUAGAAUCAUUCCUGGGACUCUGUUUGUAACCAAGGGUUCUAGGGAAGACUGGUUACAGAAGUGAUCUUGGUGUUGAGCACUUAAAGGCCCAAGAUGGACCGGUUCUAUGAAGGUCGGCAGCAUGAGUAUGGUGUCACGACUCAGACAGGAUGAGAGUCAUCAUUGGAUCCCUGGGCCUCUCACCCAGGACCCCAGGUGCCUACCUUUGAAGCUUUCAUCUUCACUCCUGACUGACUGAUUGGGGCUCCAUUGGUGAGCCCGACUCCUGAUCCAAUCCAGGCCUCCAGAUGACAGUCUGUUGAAGAAUGGGCAGCACAGAUUGUGAUUCUUGAGAUUCUGAGUAUACUCUUGAAGCUGGGUUAGUGUCCUAGGCUUCUCUGCUUGUAAGAACUGGGCUAUAAUCCCAGGCAAACAAAAGGCUGGGUUGGAAUCUCAGGUUUCUCUGUAAGAAAGAGGCUGAGUUAGAUUCCCAGGCUUUCCUGUUUUAAGACAUAGAGUUGGGAUUAGAGUGCCAGGCUCCAUUGUUUGUGAGGUAUCAUGAGUUAUGAACAUGGCAGCUUCUCAGUUGACUGAACCUCACCCCAACCUCCUUCUGAAACCCCUGCUGACUAUGUGCUCCACCACCUAGGCACUAACUCUGUCUGCUUCCCUUCUUGUUGAUAUGAUCUUACAAAGGAUAAUUUGGGACUUCCCUAAAGUGGCAUCUCUAAGAUCUCUCUCUUCCUUUUGCCUCCAUUCCUCCUUCCAUUUUUGAUAUGCCCUCCUUUAAACCCCCACCUCCUCCACAUUUUUGUUCAGCCCUGCCAGACUUUUCCCUUCCCACUCCAGGCUCUCAACUACCUACACUCACUGGAGCCCCGUUGGAGACUCUAUGGGACUCAAGAGCCUCCAAAAGCAACUACAAUAUCUUAAAAAUGUCCUCCAUAAUAUUGGUAAAAAAUAUUUUUGCUCUCACAUUGGUCAGGUAGCAACUUGUUCCAUUCACCAAAAACACAAUUUGGAUAAAAAAAUUAAAGUGCAGUAAAGACGAGAGCCAACCAUUUCAUAUAAACCAGAGUUCUGUAUUACUGUGUUUACCUGACUCAUGGCUACAAUUUUAAAAUGGAAGCUAUAAGGUCUCCAUUUGCAUCUAUCUGUAUGUUUAUGUAUGUACAUAUGUAUGUUAUGUAUAUGUGAUACUUUCCUAUCUUCUGAUGGUAUUACCCAAUUAAUUUAUAAAACCCUAUAAAGAAGCUCUAUUCUGACAGGCUUAGGGACAAAUUGCUUAUAUCAAUUAAAUAUUUAUAAAGCUCUCAGAAAUAUAGGAAUUAACCCCAAUUUUUUUUAAGUUCAUGUGACUUUGGGAAAUAUUUGUUAGAUAAAACCAGUUUAAAAUUGUUGAUUGAAUAAAACAGCUGUCUUCUGAGUUAUCACAUGUAUUAAAUUCAUGUGAGUGGAAUCAAAAUUUUAUAAAUGAACUUUUUGACAAUAAUUAUGUUUUAUAAUAUCUGCCUAAAAAUGCUUUCCACAAUCUUUUUGGUAACUUGCAAUCUUAAAAUUAUGCUAAGUAAUACAUAUUCAUUAACUAUCUAGAUUAUUUCUAAGUCAGAUAAACCACUGAAAAUUUAUUUUUAAGCAUAAGUUUAAUUUUAUAUACUUUUGGCUUCUUAUUUUUAUAUCAUAUAGAGAGGCUACAUAUAUUUAGGUCUGUUACUAAACAUUCUUUUUGCCACAUUAAAACAAUUGUAUUACGAGGAAGCACAUACCUAUAAAAAUUGUGAGAUGGUAUAUUCAUAAAAUUUGCUGAUCUGCUACAGAAUGUUGGUACUUGACAGACAACUCACAAUUGUCUAUAACCUAGUUUUUUCUGUUACCAAAAAAAGAGGUUACUUAUGGUUAAAAAUUUUAAUCAACAUAUGUAAAUAAAGCUACUAGAACUAAUAAAGAUAAAGGGAAAUGACUUGCAAGCACAAUUUGCAAAGCAGGAAGAAUGUGUUUUUGUAUGGGAAAAAUAAAAAUAACUGUCUUAAAGUGAAA